rnacentral:lncRNA from 1 species
GCAUAGUAUGACUGAUAAGAAUGCACAACUGUUAGCAGUGGCUCCUGGGAGAGACAGGGGGGCGGUAAGAGAUGCAGUGGAGGGCUUUGCACACAGACGGCACGGUUCCGGUGGACGUUUUUACAAGCUGUACAACAUUGCUGAAAUUCACAACAAAACAAACGAAUAAAGGGAGUAGAGACUUACCAAGUAAAGCGAAGGGGAGGGAAGGGUAGUCGCCUUCAAGCUCGGAAGACAAGGAGGUGAUUUCAAGAUCAAGAUCAGGAAAGCGUGAGCAGGCAGCAGUGACUGCCAAGGCGAUAGAGAGCGUGGUGACGUGGAUGACGAGCGGGCAGACGUGGGCACGUGGGCACGUGCGUGGCGCCCAAGCCGUGUCUGGGAGCGCUGGCGGGGCAUGCGCUGUAGGUACGGUGUGUGUCCUACCACAGUGAGGGGCGGAAGUGAGGGCACGGUCGUCCUGCAAGAGACAGAGCGUGUUUGAGAUGGGCUGUGAGGAAACAAAGGUUGGCUUCCAGCUGGAAGAACACGGAGCAGGUGCUGCAAGCUGUUCUCUGUAGAGACUCUUUGGAGGAGCAACGUUCUUCCUGUAAUUGUUUCCUCCUGGCAAAGAAGAGCUUCGAGAAAGCGGAAAGUCAGCUCUUCCCUGUGGCUGCCUCUGCCCGAGCCCCGCAUAGCCUCACACCUGCGCUUGAUUGGCACUUUGAUGCCCACUGGCUUCUGCUACACCAUGAUUGCACUUCACUCAGGUGCAUGGUGUCUGAUGGAGGGAGAGAGCUAAUUCACGCAGACUCUAUUGAUUUUUGCCUUCUCCGUUCUUCUUACUUCCUCCUUCCCUAGAGGGACAGUUAGGAAAUAGCUAACAAUCCUUGAAGCCAAACUGAGUUUCUGAAUUCAUCGCAUUCUUAAAAUAGUGGACAAGAAAUAAGAAAUCGGGCCUCGGAAAUACCACGCAGAAGCAAAUUAUGUUCCUGUCUGAUGGUGAGACAGCCCUGCAAAUCCACAGCUUCAGGGAUGACAUAUGCUGAGAAAGGAUAUUCCUUGAUGUUAAGAAAAUAAUGGGCUGGCUUGUACAAGUGAGUAUCUUUCUCCUUGAAACUAAUUAGACAGUUCAGGAAGCCUUGUCAGGGAAGGAAUAUCUGGUAUUUGUCUGGUUCCCUGCACAAAAUAAUAAUUCAGUGGCCUGAAAUAACCAUGGGUGCACUAAACUUUAUGGGAAUACAGUAAAC